AGACGAAUCAUCUGGAAAGAUGAAUCAAAGAAGGUAAUAAUCCUGUAGUCGAAAAUGUUGUCUCUCUUGAGUGGAUCCUGAGUACGACGGAGCACGUGAAAUUCCGUCGGAAUCUGGGAGGACCAUCUCCUAAGGCUAAAUACUCUCUAGUGACCGAUAGUGAACCAGUACCGUGAGGGAAAGGUGAAAAGCACCCCGGAAGGGGAGUGAAAUAGAACCUGAAACCGUGUGCUUACAAGUAGUCAGAGCCCGUUAAUGGGUGAUGGCGUGCCUUUUGUAGAAUGAACCGGCGAGUUACGAUUUGAUGCAAGGUUAAGCAGUAAAUGUGGAGCCGUAGCGAAAGCGAGUCUGAAUAGGGCGUUUAGUAUUUGGUCGUAGACCCGAAACCAGGUGAUCUACCCUUGGUCAGGUUGAAGUUCAGGUAACACUGAAUGGAGGACCGAACCGACUUACGUUGAAAAGUGAGCGGAUGAACUGAGGGUAGCGGAGAAAUUCCAAUCGAACCUGGAGAUAGCUGGUUCUCUCCGAAAUAGCUUUAGGGCUAGCCUCAAGUGAUGAUUAUUGGAGGUAGAGCACUGUUUGGACGAGGGGCCCCUCUCGGGUUACCGAAUUCAGACAAACUCCGAAUGCCAAUUAAUUUAACUUGGGAGUCAGAACAUGGGUGAUAAGGUCCGUGUUCGAAAGGGAAACAGCCCAGACCACCAGCUAAGGUCCCAAAAUAUAUGUUAAGUGGAAAAGGAUGUGGCGUUGCCCAGACAACUAGGAUGUUGGCUUAGAAGCAGCCAUCAUUUAAAGAGUGCGUAAUAGCUCACUAGUCGAGUGACACUGCGCCGAAAAUGUACCGGGGCUAAACAUAUUACCGAAGCUGUGGAUUGUCCUUUGGACAAUGGUAGGAGAGCGUUCUAAGGGCGUUGAAGCAUGAUCGUAAGGACAUGUGGAGCGCUUAGAAGUGAGAAUGCCGGUGUGAGUAGCGAAAGACGGGUGAGAAUCCCGUCCACCGAUUGACUAAGGUUUCCAGAGGAAGGCUCGUCCGCUCUGGGUUAGUCGGGUCCUAAGCUGAGGCCGACAGGCGUAGGCGAUGGAUAACAGGUUGAUAUUCCUGUACCACCUAUAAUCGUUUUAAUCGAUGGGGGGACGCAGUAGGAUAGGCGAAGCGUGCGAUUGGAUUGCACGUCUAAGCAGUAAGGCUGAGUAUUAGGCAAAUCCGGUACUCGUUAAGGCUGAGCUGUGAUGGGGAGAAGACAUUGUGUCUUCGAGUCGUUGAUUUCACACUGCCGAGAAAAGCCUCUAGAUAGAAAAUAGGUGCCCGUACCGCAAACCGACACAGGUAGUCAAGAUGAGAAUUCUAAGGUGAGCGAGCGAACUCUCGUUAAGGAACUCGGCAAAAUGACCCCGUAACUUCGGGAGAAGGGGUGCUCUUUAGGGUUAACGCCCAGAAGAGCCGCAGUGAAUAGGCCCAAGCGACUGUUUAUCAAAAACACAGGUCUCUGCUAAACCGUAAGGUGAUGUAUAGGGGCUGACGCCUGCCCGGUGCUGGAAGGUUAAGAGGAGUGGUUAGCUUCUGCGAAGCUACGAAUCGAAGCCCCAGUAAACGGCGGCCGUAACUAUAACGGUCCUAAGGUAGCGAAAUUCCUUGUCGGGUAAGUUCCGACCCGCACGAAAGGCGUAACGAUUUGGGCACUGUCUCAACGAGAGACUCGGUGAAAUCAUAGUACCUGUGAAGAUGCAGGUUACCCGCGACAGGACGGAAAGACCCCGUGGAGCUUUACUGUAGCCUGAUAUUGAAAUUCGGCACAGCUUGUACAGGAUAGGUAGGAGCCUUUGAAACGUGAGCGCUAGCUUACGUGGAGGCGCUGGUGGGAUACUACCCUAGCUGUGUUGGCUUUCUAACCCGCACCACUUAUCGUGGUGGGAGACAGUGUCAAGCGGGCAGUUUGACUGGGGCGGUCGCCUCCUAAAAGGUAACGGAGGCGCUCAAAGGUUCCCUCAGAAUGGUUGGAAAUCAUUCAUAGAGUGCAAAGGCAUAAGGGAGCUUGACUGCGAGACCUACAAGUCGAGCAGGGUCGAAAGACGGACUUAGUGAUCCGGUGGUUCCGCAUGGAAGGGCCAUCGCUCAACGGAUAAAAGCUACCCCGGGGAUAACAGGCUUAUCUCCCCCAAGAGUUCACAUCGACGGGGAGGUUUGGCACCUCGAUGUCGGCUCAUCGCAUCCUGGGGCUGUAGUCGGUCCCAAGGGUUGGGCUGUUCGCCCAUUAAAGCGGUACGCGAGCUGGGUUCAGAACGUCGUGAGACAGUUCGGUCCCUAUCCGUCGUGGGCGUAGGAAAUUUGAGAGGAGCUGUCCUUAGUACGAGAGGACCGGGAUGGACAUACCUCUGGUGUACCAGUUGUCGUGCCAACGGCAUAGCUGGGUAGCUAUGUGUGGACGGGAUAAGUGCUGAAAGCAUCUAAGCAUGAAGCCCCCCUCAAGAUGAGAUUUCCCAACUUCGGUUAUAAGAUCCCUCAAAGAUGAUGAGGUUAAUAGGUUCGAGGUGGAAGCAUGGUGACAUGUGGAGCUGACGAAUACUAAUCGAUCGAAGACUUAAUCAA
rnacentral:rRNA from 1 species